AGUGAACGCUGGCGGCGUGCCUAAUACAUGCAAGUCGAACGGUAACAGGAAGUAGCUUGCUACUUUGCUGAUUAGUGGCGCACGGGUGAGUAAUGCAUAGGUCAUGUGCCCCAUAGUCUGGGAUAGCCACUGGAAACGGUGAUUAAUACUGGAUACUCCCGAGAGGGGAAAGUUUUUCGCUAUGGGAUCAGCCUAUGUCCUAUCAGCUUGUUGGUGAGGUAAUGGCUCACCAAGGCUAUGACGGGUAUCCGGCCUGAGAGGGUGAACGGACACACUGGAACUGAGGCACGGUCCAGACUCCUACGGGAGGCAGCAGUAGGGAAUAUUGCUCAAUGGGGGAAACCCUGAAGCAGCAACGCCGCGUGGAGGUUGAAGGUCUUCGGAUUGUAAACUCCUUUUCUAAGAGAAGAUUAUGACGGUAUCUGAGGAAUAAGCACCGGCUAACUCCGUG
rnacentral:rRNA from 1 species